UACGGAGGGGGCGAGCGUUGUCCGAAGUUACUGGGCGUAAAGCGCGCGUAGGCGGGUGGGUAAGUCCGCUGUGAAAGCCCGGAGCUCAACUCCGGAGGGUCGGUGGAUACUGCCCAUCUUGAAGGUGCUAGGGGGAGAUGGAAUUACCGGUGUAGCGGUGAAAUGCGUAGAGAUCCGGAGGAACACCAAAGGCGAAGGCAAUGUCCUGGCUCGGGUCUGACGCUCAGGUGCGAAAGCCAGGGGAGCGAACGGG
rnacentral:rRNA from 1 species